GGCCGUGUCUUCCAGGCUCAUGACCUCAGCCGAGUGCAGAGGCCCAGGAGCCCGACUGGCCCUGAUCCCGCCCCCACAGCCCUCCCCACAGGGGUCAGUACAUCUUCUGUCGGCUGGGUAGAAUGGCCUCUCUGAUAAAGGAGAAGAUGACCAGAAUGCCUAAGCGCUUGCCCCGCUUGCCUUUGGUGAAGUAAUUGGAGACCACGUCAUCUGCGGAGACACAGGCAGCCAGACUCUUCAAGCUCAUGUCCUGGGAAAGCUCCCCCUGCCCGUGGCUCAGCACGAACCCACAAAAGCUCAUCGCUAGGGCCAUGAAGACCCCAUCUUCCCAGUUGGCCUGGCCUCCUGGAGGUCUUCGUGCCCUCACCACAGGACAAGAUGAAGUUAGGCGAGGUCAGCAUGAUGAAGGGGAAGGUCUGGAGGAGGCCGAAGUAGACCAGGUUGGUGAAGAGGCCCACGCCGAUCAUGUAGGUAGGGAAGUGCUCAAAGACGUACAGGCCAAUCAGCACCGCGGUGGAGAACUGAAACAACCAGAGGGGCACAGCUCAGGGGUCCCCUUCCAGGCAGCCUUCCUGGACUCACCAAGGCCCUGGCUCACCCUGGGCAGCACUAGUUUGUCUUGCUUUGCAGUCACCAGUCUGGCUGCCCCAACUAGGUUCGUAGCGCUCUAUGGGCAACAUCGUUUAAUUCCAACUCUCAAAGCUUAUUUCAAAGCAAGCCACAAGAAGCAAAACAUUUUAUUUACACUGUGAUCUCAACACACACACACACACACACACACACACACACACACACACAGAGCUCAAAUGUCAAUUCUCGUCUUUUCUAUUCUGUUUUAAAAACCGUGUUGAUCGUGACUUUUGAAGUGAUUAUACAAAUCAAUUAGGCAUUCCUGUAGUCUGAAAAGGUUGUUUCAAAGGAUGUACAGUUGCCAGGGAUAAAGAAUGUGCCAGUUGGUGAAUGAAGUUCUAGCUCCUGUACCCACACCAGCCAGCCAGGCUUCUGAACCCACAGGUGAGUGCUGCGGUCUUGCCUCCACCACUAGCUCCCAACCCCUCGCAUGUCCAGAGUGUCAGCGUGAGGGGCCGUGGUUCCCCCCUACCCCAGCCCUCUCCUCCCACCCCUCCCCAAGCUUUGCCUCCCGGCUGAUGGGCAUCUGCCCACCAGCCCCGACUCGUGUGGCUUUCAGAGCAAUGGCAAUGACUGUGUCUUCAGCAAGAGCAGCCUCCCAAGAGACCCGUGGAGGGCAGGCCCAGGCUUCGGAAGAUGCUUUCCCCUAAAAAGAGGGCAAAUGGGUUGGGCUCCAAACUGCUUUUAAGGUUCUUCUCAGUUGUCAAUGCUGCGAGCAAAGCCAGGGGCUAUAGACAGCGAAAGCCAGCCCCACAAGACAGAUCCACAGUCCUGUCCACAGAGAAUGUACGCCUAGCAGCGACCUUAACAAGGCCUGCGGUCAGGCAGUGCCCCUUGGGAAAGGAGCCAGGGAAGAUCUGGUCACCAGGGCAGAUGGAGCCACAAGAUAAGGCACUAGCCCAGCGGUUCUCAACCUUCCUCAUGCCACGACCCUCGAAUACAGCUCCUCAUGUUGUGGUGAC